rnacentral:rRNA from 1 species
AUUGAACGCUGGCGGCAGGCCUAACACAUGCAAGUCGAGCGAGCGGCGGACGGGUGAGUAAUGCAUGGGGAUCUGCCCGAUGGAGGGGGAUAACUACUGGAAACGGUGGCUAAUACCGCAUACUAUCGGAUGAACCCAUAUGGGAUUAGCUAGUAGGUGGGGUAAAGGCUCACCUAGGCGACGAUCUCUAGCUGGUCUGAGAGGAUGACCAGCCACACUGGGACUGAGACACGGCCCAGACUCCUACGGGAGGCAGCAGUGGGGAAUAUUGCGCAAUGGGCGCAAGCCUGAUGCAGCCAUGCCGCGUGAAUGAAGAAGGCCUUAGGGUUGUAAAGUACUUUCAGCGGGGAGGCGUUACCCGCAGAAGAAGCACCGGCUAACUCCGUGCCAGCAGCCGCGGUAAUAC